rnacentral:rRNA from 1 species
UAUUAGUCAAUGCUCGCAAGAGUGAACGAGCUAACUGAAAGAAUAUAUAAUCUAAUGUUAGUAAACUUAUAAAAUUUAUUAUAGGUUUAAAUACGAAUCUAACUAACAGUGUCGUCCAAAUUCUGGUGCCAGAAGACUCGGUAAUACCAGAGACGCGAACGUUAAUCAUCUUGAAUGGGCAUAAAGGGUUUGUAGGCGGCUUAUUUAUUAAUAGGCUAGAAUCUUAUAGAGGUUAAUAAAAUACUUAGAGGAGGGCUGAUAUCCGUAGAUCCUAAGUGGAAUCCUAAUUGCGAAGGCCAUUAACCACUACAGAUUGACGCUGAGACACGAAGGUUAGGAUAGGAACUAGGAUUAGAGACCCUAUUACCCCUAACUGUAAACGAUGAAUGGAAGAUAUUUACAAUUGUAAGUGUCGAAGUGAAUACGAUAACCAUUCCGCCUUGCUAGUAUACUUGCAAAAGUGAAAACAAAAAAAUUAGUCGGUCCUAAAGCAAACGAAGUGAAGCAUGUUAUUU